AGAGUUUGAUCCUGGCUCAGGACGAACGCUGGCGGCGUGCUUAACACAUGCAAGUCGAACGGAAAGGCCCUUCGGGGUACUCGAGUGGCGAACGGGUGAGUAACACGUGGGUGAUCUGCCCUGCACUUUGGGAUAAGCCUGGGAAACUGGGUCUAAUACCGAAUAGGACCGCGCUCUUCAUGGGGUGUGGUGGAAAGCUUUUGCGGUGUGGGAUGGGCCCGCGGCCUAUCAGCUUGUUGGUGGGGUAAUGGCCUACCAAGGCGACGACGGGUAGCCGGCCUGAGAGGGUGACCGGCCACACUGGGACUGAGAUACGGCCCAGACUCCUACGGGAGGCAGCAGUGGGGAAUAUUGCACAAUGGGCGCAAGCCUGAUGCAGCGACGCCGCGUGAGGGAUGACGGCCUUCGGGUUGUAAACCUCUUUCAAUAGGGACGAAGCGCAAGUGACGGUACCUAUAGAAGAAGGACCGGCCAACUACGUGCCAGCAGCCGCGGUAAUACGUAGGGUCCGAGCGUUGUCCGGAAUUACUGGGCGUAAAGAGCUCGUAGGUGGUUUGUCGCGUUGUUCGUGAAAACUCACAGCUUAACUGUGGGCGUGCGGGCGAUACGGGCAGACUAGAGUACUGCAGGGGAGACUGGAAUUCCUGGUGUAGCGGUGGAAUGCGCAGAUAUCAGGAGGAACACCGGUGGCGAAGGCGGGUCUCUGGGCAGUAACUGACGCUGAGGAGCGAAAGCGUGGGGAGCGAACAGGAUUAGAUACCCUGGUAGUCCACGCCGUAAACGGUGGGUACUAGGUGUGGGUUUCCUUCCUUGGGAUCCGUGCCGUAGCUAACGCAUUAAGUACCCCGCCUGGGGAGUACGGCCGCAAGGCUAAAACUCAAAGGAAUUGACGGGGGCCCGCACAAGCGGCGGAGCAUGUGGAUUAAUUCGAUGCAACGCGAAGAACCUUACCUGGGUUUGACAUGCACAGGACGCCAGUAGAGAUAUUGGUUCCCUUGUGGCCUGUGUGCAGGUGGUGCAUGGCUGUCGUCAGCUCGUGUCGUGAGAUGUUGGGUUAAGUCCCGCAACGAGCGCAACCCUUGUCUCAUGUUGCCAGCACGUUAUGGUGGGGACUCGUGAGAGACUGCCGGGGUCAACUCGGAGGAAGGUGGGGAUGACGUCAAGUCAUCAUGCCCCUUAUGUCCAGGGC
rnacentral:rRNA from 1 species